rnacentral:ribozyme from 14 species
AAAAAAAAAAAAAAAAAAAGAUAGGGAAGAAAUGAUGAUAAAACCAGUGGCAAGAGU